rnacentral:rRNA from 1 species
UAGUCCACGCCGUAAACGAUGGUCACUAGUCGUUGGGGCUUUAUGCCUCAGUGAUUAAGCGAAAGUGAUAAGUGACCCACCUGGGGAGUACGAUCGCAAGAUUGAAACUCAAAGGAAUUGACGGGGGCCCGCACAAGCGGUGGAGCAUGUGGUUUAAUUCGAUGAUACGCGAGGAACCUUACCAGGGCUUAAAUGUAAGUUGCAUAGACCAGAGAUGGUCUUUUCUUCGGACUACUUACAAGGUGCUGCAUGGUUGUCGUCAGCUCGUGCCGUGAGGUGUCGGGUUAAGUCCCAUAACGAGCGCAACCCCUAUCAUUAGUUGCUAACAGGUUAAGCUGAGGACUCUGAUGAGACUGCCGGUGUAAACCGCGAGGAAGGUGGGGAUGACGUCAAAUCAGCACGGGCCCUUACGUCCAGGGGCUACACACGUGUUACAAUGGCCGGUACAGAGGGGCAGGCUACAUGGGCAACAUGAUGCGAAUCUCGAAACCCGGGUCUCAGUUCGGGAUCGGGA